UACGUAGGGUGCAAGCGUUGUCCGGAAUUAUUGGGCGUAAAGAGCUCGUAGGCGGUCUGUCGCGUCUGCUGUGAAAUCCCGAGGCUCAACCUCGGGCUUGCAGUGGGUACGGGCAGGCUAGAGUGCGGUAGGGGAGAAUGGAACUCCUGGUGUAGCGGUGGAAUGCGCAGAUAUCAGGAAGAACACCGAUGGCGAAGGCAGUUCUCUGGGCCGUAACUGACGCUGAGGAGCGAAAGCGUGGGGAGCGAACAGG
rnacentral:rRNA from 1 species